CAUGGCUCAGGAUGAACGCUAGCGGCAGGCCUAACACAUGCAAGUCGAGGGAGAAGCCCUUCGGGGCAGAAACCGGCGCACGGGUGCGUAACGCGUAUGCAACCUACCUUUCACAGGGGGAUAGCCCGAAGAAAUUUGGAUUAAUACCCCAUAAUAUUGUUGGAUGGCAUCAUUUGACAAUUAAAACUACGGUGGUGAGAGAUGGGCAUGCGUCCUAUUAGCUAGUUGGAGUGGUAACGGCACCCCAAGGCUACGAUAGGUAGGGGUCCUGAGAGGGAGAUCCCCCACACUGGUACUGAGACACGGCCCUUACUCCUACGG
rnacentral:rRNA from 1 species